UGAGGAGGUUGUAUCUACCGGCUUCAAUUUGAAGUGUCUAAUCAUUAUUAAAGUCAUGGCUCGGCGAUGAUUGGAAUUUUGUACAUCUACGUAUUUUUUUUUCUGUCAUAAGUAAGCUUGAUUUUUUGUAUGUUCUCAAUUUGAAGAUUCCUCUUUUUACCAUAAGAGUUCAAUAUUGAGUAAAAGUAUUGGGGAAAGUUGUCUUUUAGUCUUUUGGUUCAGAUUGAUCAGAUAAUAUGUUUCGGUCUUGUUUUUUUUAGCGCAAUCUCAUUAUUUUUGCACUCUGCGUAGGAUGUCGUCCAUAAAAUUUACUUGCUGUAGCCUUAAAGAUAUACAUAGUUUAUACAUCUACGACAUGUUUUCCGCCGGCAUUCCAUGUGUGACGAACGCACCAACAAACAGCUAUUAGCUGUUAGAUUCUAGCUGUUAGCAGCAACAACACCAUUCCCUGCCACAGAAAACCGCAAGGAAACUUGCUAACCUAUGUGUCACUCGGCACAACAAGGUGAGCAACAUAAACCUCCAUCCACUCAAUAUCAUUAUCAUCAUUGCCAUUAUCAUUCUUAUCGUAAUUACUAUCGUUUGUGCUUGCUCUUGUGUGUUCAUACUUGUAGAAAACAUCGCGAAACGACCUUUGCUUUAGUCGUGUCAAUUUGAUAAUUCAUGUUAUAGACCUUUUCUUAUGUUUAGUAACCAAAAGUUUAUUACUGCAUAGUUUCUUGUCGUACUCGGCAAACCCGCUAGGUGCUCUGUUGACUGGUCUGCAAUUGCGCAAACUAUCAAGGUGAACAUACUGGCGGGAAACUUGAAUGUGUGAACGUAGGAAUUAUUUCGUUUCAUUUCAUCCUAUUCAAAAUUGUAACAAGACAAUGCAGAUAGCAUCCCAGGUAACAAUGCUAAUAUUGGAUAUUGAGGCUAACCGUCUAAAGAAAUGUUAACAAGUUUGAGAGAGACGACUUUUAAACAUCGUUUUUCAGAUCAAGCUUUAUGAACUGUACGUCUUCCAUCGGCGACGUUGUCCAGCCAACCAGAAGGGUGACCAUACAUAUAUUUUCUCCUUGCUCCUCAAAAUUGAGGAAUCUGGUACUUACUAAUCCAAUAGAAGAAGUAGACGUUACAAAGGAUCCUCAAAAUCUUUAGAUCGUUAGGUACAACGGAAAGGUGUAAGUUAGUGGUGGUGCCGUUGCCUUGUUUGGGAAUAACUCAAGAAGGAGUCAGAGGAUCGUCAAACUUUUGUUUAGCUACUUAUUAUUGAUAUAGCUAGAUGCUAAUUAUGCAAAUAUGAGCCAAGCUGUAUAUUUACCGAGAAAAUGUGAUAAUUCCGUAGUGAUAUAUGGUGGGAAUUCUUACAGCGAUGAAAGACAGACUGUACUGGAGGUCAAACUUCACCUGCUGCGCAUGCGCCUCAGAGGAUGACAAAUGAUGAUGACAUGGCGGGAAUUCAAAAUUUGUAAUAUAUGUAAGUUCAUAAAAAAGGAACAUCAUCAAACAUAAAUUAUACAAAUCAUGGAACAUUUGCAUAACUGAGAAAAUGAUAGAAUCGCUAACUUAAGUUAAGACUUUCAUACUUUGGACAACUUGUGUUGUUUAGGAGGAGAAGACAGAGAGUAAUACUAUGUACAUCUGUAUAUGUAAACAAGUGAGCGAAGGUGGAAUAAAACUCACAUUACAUCAUCGCGCAACUGAGUACAAACGACAUGCCAAACCAUGCACAUACGAAUGCUGCAAAUGAAACAAAGAGAUAUAGGUGCGAACACUCAAGACAUAGACCGUUCACAAUACUCUGUACACGGAGGUUACCCUCCAGUCAUAGGGUAACAAUGCCAAUAAUGAAUUAGAAACCACAUCAGUUGAGAAACCUCAUCAGUCAUGAAAGUUGAUAUCAUUUGGGUUCGUGGAACUCUAGUUACAAAAUGGAACGGGAGCGCUGCUACAAUAGAAGACGUAUUUCCCAUAGGCAGCCAUUGGACAGCUCUGCUCUACUCUCUCAAAAGGAGGACGAUAAAAGACAAACAUCGCUUUUACAUGAUGGGAACCAAUGAUACACGUGCAUAUUUUCUGUGGCUUCUCUGAAGUCGUCCCUUCGGGUGUGAGCUAUCUGGCAGGCAGUGAAGUAAUGAUCGAUGUGCUCCUGCGGCAAAAACAAGUGUGUGGCUUUGAUUUGAACCCCUCCGUGUAUGACGCAGUAGCUGUGUGGGCGGACAGCACGCGCAGAUGGCACCUUCCAUAACACCUGAUGCUAAUAGAAAUGACGGUCUGAAUGAGGGAGCCAGCACGUCUGUGGACCGGGGAAUCGCUCUCCGGAAGCUCCAGGGAAUGACAUCAGCGGUAUAAAGUGGAGAAAAAACACCAGAAGGCCAUUAGCGAAUGAGGAAGUUUGGCGGAUUGAAAGAGAACUGACUCGAAACAACCAUCUAUAUUUCCCUCUGGGAAGCGUUGGGCCACCAUUGGAAACGUUCGUUGACUACUCUGUACAGACAUAAGAAGGCCACGGAAACACCAGAAGACUAAAGGACAAGCCUGAGUACUAGACAGCAGCCUGAAAGCCUCCCACGCCUUCUAUGUAAACCAACACAUCCUGCCGACGGAAGGUGGAAGAUGGCAAAAGCACACGCACAUCUGGGUCGCCACGGCGGAAAUUGGUCGGGACUUUCUAACGUUGGUGCCAUAACAGCAUCUCCACUCUGGUUUCUGAAUGGGAGCUCCUGGAACAUCACCAACUCUACGUGGGAGAACGACUUCGGCGGGAAAAACACGACCGGGCAUCCAGCCGGGGAUGUCGGCGGGGAUGAAGAGGACGGGGUGCCGCCGCUGGCCCUCAUCAAGGCCGUGGUUCUGGUCGUGGUGCUGGGAAUCGUGCUGCUGUCCUCCUGUAAGUUGGUGUUGCAGUUCGUGACCAGAAUAACCGAACGCAGGCUGUGAACACAAGUGCAAUAGUCGCCAUUUCACACUGCCAGUGUGUAACAUUCUCCAGGCUAUCUGGCUGUUGAAGAAGCGAGUCCUGCUCUUGGUAUUUAUUUACAAUUGCUUCCAGGGACGGCACUGCAAAGCCCAUUAGUCUUCGCAAAUACCACAUUUCACGUACAGCGUUUAAGUUUAUAGGUCAACCUGGUAUUGUUACGGUGUGAUAAUGUCAGGCCAUAUCGCAUUUCAAACAGAACCGUUACGUCGACUUAUAAGGAUAUUAUGUCGAAUUAUGGAACAUGGAAUAUGUAUCCUUUCCAUCUGGCCAGUACCAUACAAAGAACUAGAAGUCGUUGCAUAUGAAGCAUUUGUCUUUACCAUGAUGCAUCCUAGAUAUCUU